rnacentral:rRNA from 1 species
AAUGAACGCUGGCGGCGCGCCUAAUACAUGCAAGUCGAGCGAGAAGACGUAGCAAUACGUUUGUAAAGCGGCGAACGGGUGAGGAAUACAUGGGUAACCUACCCUCGAGUGGGGAAUAACUAGCCGAAAGGUUAGCUAAUACCGCGUACGCUCCUUGGACUUCGGUUCAGGGAGGAAAGCGAUACCGUGGGUAUCGCGCUCUUGGAUGGGCUCAUGUCCUAUCAGCUUGUUGGGAGGUAACGGCUCACCAAGGCUUCGACGGGUAGCUGGUCUGAGAGGACGAUCAGCCACACUGGCACUGCGACACGGGCCAGACUCCUACGGGNGCAGCAGUAAGGAUAUUGCGCAA